UAGGGAAUCUUCGGCAAUGGGGGCAACCCUGACCGAGCAGCGCCGCGUGAGUGAAGAAGUUUUUCGGAUCGUAAAGCUCUGUUGUAAGAGAAGAACGUGUGUGAGAGUGGAAAGUUCACACAGUGACGGUAACUUACCAGAAAGGGACGGCUAACUACGUGCCAGCAGCCGCGGUAAUACGUAGGUCCCGAGCGUUGUCCGGAUUUAUUGGGCGUAAAGCGAGCGCAGGCGGUUUAAUAAGUCUGAAGUUAAAGGCAGUGGCUUAACCAUUGUUCGCUUUCGAUACUGUUAGACUGGAGUGCAGAAGGGGAGGGUGGAAUUCCUUGUGUAGCGGUGAAAUACGUAGAUAUAUGGGGGAACACCGGUGGCGAAAGCGGCUCUCUGGUCUGUAACUGACGCUGAGGCUCGAAAGCGUGUGGAGCAAACAAG
rnacentral:rRNA from 1 species